GGUUUAACAACUAGCACACUGACAUAUUUUUAAAAUUAACUAUUUUUAACCCUAUCAUCAAUUGAAUAAGUGUAUAAACAAAUCAUUUUUCCGCCUUAGUAUGGGAGACAAAAAAGGCCUUAGAAGCGACAGAAAAAGUACCGCAAGGGAAAGUUGAAAAAGAAAUGAAAAAUUAAGCAACACCCCAAAAAGCAGAGCUUAGUUCUUGUACCUUUUGCAUCAUGUUUUAGUAAGCGUAAAUUAAGCAAAGCGAGCUGUAGUUUAAUUACCCGAAACCAAGCGAGCUACUCCGAGACAACCUUAUUGAAGGGUAAACCCGUCUCUGUGGCAAAAGAGUGGGAAGAGCUCCGAGUAGAAGCGAAAAACUUAUCGAGCUUGGUUAUAGCUGGUUGCCUGAGAAAUGGAUAACAGUUCAGCACUAUUAUUUCCUCUCCCUUUUACCCCUUUUACACUAAUUACAAACAGGCAUAGAAGAAGUAAUAGCAGUUAUUUUAAAGGGGUUCAGCCCUUUAAAAACAGAAUACAGCCCCCUUAGAAGGGUAAGGAUCAUAAACAACCUUAAGGUAUUAUAUUUAAGUGGGCUUAGAAGCAGCCACCCUUAGAAAGCGUUACAGCUCUUAUAUAAUUUUAAACCCUUAAUACUGAAAACAGUUCUCAACCCUCUUCAACUAUCAGGCUAUACUAUUUAAUAUAGUAAAAAUAAUGCUAGUAUGAGUAAUAAGGGGAAGCCCCCCUCCUUGCACAAGUGUAAGUCGGAGCGAACACCCGCCGACUCUUAACGCCUCCAAACAAAGAGGGCCUUGGGCCUAUCAUAAACAACUAGAAAACCGCCCAUAAAUAACCGUUAACCCCACACAGGUGUGCCCACAAGGAAAGACAAUAAAGGUUGGAAGGAACUCGGCAAACCCAAGCCUCGCCUGUUUACCAAAAACAUCGCCUCUUGUACUAAAAAUAAGAGGUCCCGCCUGCCCAGUGACUUUAUGUUUAACGGCCGCGGUAUUUUAACCGUGCAAAGGUAGCGUAAUAACUUGUCUUUUAAAUGAAGACUGGUAUGAAUGGCAUCACGAGGGCCUGACUGUCUCCCACCCUUAGUCAAUUAAAUUGAUCUCCCCGUGCAGAAGCUGGGAUACACACAUUAGACGAGAAGACCCUAUGGAGCUUUAGCCAAAUUAGGCUUAAGUUACUGCUUUUAAAUUAAAAACUGUGAACUAAUUAAACCCCUUAAAAUGUUUUUGGUUGGGGCGACCUUGGGAAAACAAGCAACUCCCAUGUCGAGAAAGAACUAAUCUUUCAAAACUAAGACAAACAAGUCCAGGUCACAGAACUUCUGACAUAAUGAUCCGGCCCGCCGAUUAACGAAACGAGUUACCCUAGGGAUAACAGCGCAAUCCUCUUUUAGAGCCCAUAUCGACAAGGGGGUUUACGACCUCGAUGUUGGAUCAGGACAUCCUAAUGGUGCAGCCGCUGUUAAGGGUUCGUUUGUUCAACGAUUAAAGUCCUACGUGAUCUGAGUUCAGACCGGAGUAAUCCAGGUCAGUUUCUAUCUAUGAUUACCGCUUUUUCUAGUACGAAAGGACCGAAAAGGCAAGGCCCAUUCUUUCAGUAUGCCUCCCCCCUUACCUGUUGAAAUAAAAUAAAAUAGAUAAAAGGGUUAACUAACCCGCCAUAAAUUAUGGCUU
rnacentral:rRNA from 1 species